GACGAACGCUGGCGGCGUGCUUAACACAUGCAAGUCGAACGCUGAAGCACCAGCUUGCUGGUGUGGAUGAGUGGCGAACGGGUGAGUAAUACGUGAGUAACCUGCCCUUGACUCUGGGAUAAGCCCGGGAAACUGGGUCUAAUACUGGAUGCUACAUGUCACCGCAUGGUGGUGUGUGGAAAGGGUUUACUGGUCUUGGAUGGGCUCACGGCCUAUCAGCUUGUUGGUGAGGUAAUGGCUCACCAAGGCGACGACGGGUAGCCGGCCUGAGAGGGUGACCGGGCCACAUGGGACUUAGAAACGGCCCAGACCCCCACGGGAGGCAGCAGUGGGGAAUAUUGCACAAUGGGCGAAAGCCUGAUGCAGCGACGCCGCGUGAGGGAUGACGGCCUUCGGGUUGUAAACCUCUUUCAGCAGGGAAGAAGCCACAAGUGACGGUACCUGCAGAAGAAGCGCCGGCUAACUACGUG
rnacentral:rRNA from 1 species